CCCCUCCCAGGGUCACACCUGGAGAGUUUCCAGUCCUCUACCAGACUCGACUACAGGAGGGAGAGUCAAGCAGAGCCCCAUCCAUUCCAUUCCUGGCUUGGGCAGUGGCUAGCGAGGGGGAGGCAAUCUGCUACAAGU
rfam:Ornithorhynchus anatinus chromosome 3, whole genome shotgun sequence.